AGGGCAGGCGGCCUUUCUGGCUCUGGGCCCGGCCCCGAUGGCUUGCACAGUGGCAGCUGCAGCUCGUGGAAGGGCCCUGAGGUUGGGUGAGCGGGAAUGACGGAGGAUCCCGAGGGGGUUACGGGGCUCCCAGAACAGGUCUAUCUCUACGUGUGUGUCAUAAAUUGCCAAGAUGGAGAACCUGGGGCUCAGAGCGCAGAACCUGGCUAAUAAACAUCAGAAGCAAAGCCUCCAGAGCGUGAGCCCCGCCAAAGAUGGAAGACAGCAUCAUCUACAAGGGGCCUUGUGGUUUUUGACUUAGGAGUUACCAGAAGUGUCUUCUGGGUAGACGUUCAAUCAUUCAAAUGGCUAAAGAUGAAGUUUAAAAACGUCAUUGAUUUUUAAAUUUGUUAUCACUUAAAUCCUGCCCCCCAUCACUUUCCGCUUGUCAUCGCCAGAAAGCCACUUCACAUCCCGAAGCUUGUUUUAAAGAUGGGAAAAAAUAAUGCACCUGA